rnacentral:rRNA from 1 species
AUGUAUGUUGUGAAGACCGUAUUUUGCAAGUUUAUUGAAAGAUGCAAGUUUCACCAUCCAGUUGAUUGGUCUGCACCUGAUUGCAUUGCAAAAUGGAAGGAGAGAGAGGUAACAUCAAGAAAUAAUCCCACUAAAUUUGUUGCCAAUUCAUGA